ACUUUCCCCUCUUCUCCCAUUUUCUUAGUCAGAAACUUCUAUUUUUAGAGCUAUAUAUUCACUAUAUUAUUCCUCUUGGAGAGAUGAAAUCCUGCAAACUAUAUGGUUGUCUGUAGUCUUUCACUGAAUACCCUGAACUUUGAAAGAUGCUCCAUUGUUUUAUCACAAUUCUUCAAGAUGGGCCAAGCGAAGUAUUUACUUCAACAAGAAAGAGAUAUUAUCAACAUUGUUACUCAAAAGGAUUCAGCUGCAGCUGAUAUAUUGCAAUCAUUCAUCCAUGAGCUUGUUACUCAGAAAGAGAUAAUAUUAUUUUGGCGGAGUUUGUGGAGACUUAGCUAGAAAAAAAGUACUCCAUUAUAUUCUAAAUGAUUUAUAAAGUUCAAUUUUUUAAUGAAUACAUUUUUACUAUCCUAGCUGGUUACCAUAUCAUAUAUCAUUCCUCAUGAUAAAAAAUUUAUUUAGUUCCAUGAGGAUUUGAAUUUG